rnacentral:rRNA from 1 species
GUGGGGAAUAUUGGACAAUGGGGGGAACCCUGAUCCAGCCAUGCCGCGUGUGUGAAGAAGGCCUUUUGGUUGUAAAGCACUUUAAGCGAGGAGGAGGCUACCGAGAUUAAUACUCUUGGAUAGUGGACGUUACUCGCAGAAUAAGCACCGGCUAACUCUGUGCCAGCAGCCGCGGUAAUACAGAGGGUGCAAGCGUUAAUCGGAUUUACUGGGCGUAAAGCGCGCGUAGGUGGCCAAUUAAGUCAAAUGUGAAAUCCCCGAGCUUAACUUGGGAAUUGCAUUCGAUACUGGUUGGCUAGAGUAUGGGAGAGGAUGGUAGAAUUCCAGGUGUAGCGGUGAAAUGCGUAGAGAUCUGGAGGAAUACCGAUGGCGAAGGCAGCCAUCUGGCCUAAUACUGACACCGAGGUGCGAAAGCAUGGGGAGCAAACAGGAUUAGAAACCCCUGUAGUCC